rnacentral:tRNA from 1 species
UAUUCUAUUAGUAUAAAAAUUACAUUUAGCUUCCAACUAAAAAAUCUAAGGAUAGAAU